rnacentral:rRNA from 1 species
CAGUCGCCGCGGUAAUACGUAGGUGGCAAGCGUUGUCCGGAAUUAUUGGGCGUAAAGGGCUCGCAGGCGGUUUCUUAAGUCUGAUGUGAAAGCCCCCGGCUCAACCGGGGAGGGUCAUUGGAAACUGGGAAACUUGAGUGCAGAAGAGGAGAGUCGAAUUCCACGUGUAGCGGUGAAAUGCGUAGAGAUGUGGAGGAACACCAGUGGCGAAGGCGACUCUCUGGUCUGUAACUGACGCUGAGGAGCGAAAGCGUGGGGAGCGAACAGGAUUAGAUACCCCUGUAGUCCCUGUCUCUUAUAA